AACUGAGACCGGCUUUUUGGGAUUCGCUCCACCUUACGGUAUCGCAGCCCUCUGUACCGGCCAUUGUAGCAUGCGUGAAGCCCAAGACAUAAGGGGCAUGAUGAUUUGACGUCAUCCCCACCUUCCUCCGAGUUGACCCCGGCAGUCUCCCAUGAGUCCCCGGCAUAACCCGCUGGCAACAUAGGACGAGGGUUGCGCUCGUUGCGGGACUUAACCCAACAUCUCACGACACGAGCUGACGACAACCAUGCACCACCUGUGUACGAGUGUCCAAAGAGAACCCCGUCUCGGGGGCUUUCUCGUACAUGUCAAGCCUUGGUAAGGUUCUUCGCGUUGCAUCGAAUUAAUCCGCAUGCUCCGCCGCUUGUGCGGGCCCCCGUCAAUUCCUUUGAGUUUUAGCCUUGCGGCCGUACUCCCCAGGCGGGGCACUUAAUGCGUUAGCUGCGGCACGGAACUCGUGGAAUGAGCCCCACACCUAGUGCCCAACGUUUACGGCAUGGACUACCAGGGUAUCUAAUCCUGUUCGCUCCCCAUGCUUUCGCUCCUCAGCGUCAGUUGCGGCCCAGAGACCUGCCUUCGCCAUCGGUGUUCCUCCUGAUAUCUGCGCAUUCCACCGCUACACCAGGAAUUCCAGUCUCCCCUACCGCACUCUAGUCUGCCCGUACCCGAUGCAAGCCCGAGGUUGAGCCUCGGGAUUUCACACCAGACGCGACAGACCGCCUACGAGCUCUUUACGCCCAAUAAUUCCGGACAACGCUUGCGCCCUACGUAUUACCGCGGCUGCUGGCACGUAGUUAGCCGGCGCUUCUUCUGCAGGUACCGUCACUUGCGCUUCUUCCCUGCUGAAAGAGGUUUACAACCCGAAGGCCGUCAUCCCUCACGCGGCGUCGCUGCAUCAGGCUUGCGCCCAUUGUGCAAUAUUCCCCACUGCUGCCUCCCGUAGGAGUCUGGGCCGUGUCUCAGUCCCAGUGUGGCCGGUCGCCCUCUCAGGCCGGCUACCCGUCGACGCCUUGGUAGGCCAUCACCCCACCAACAAGCUGAUAGGCCGCGAGCCCAUCCCCCACCGAAAAACUUUCCAACCACACCAUGCGAUGCGAGCUCAUAUCCGGUAUUAGACCCCGUUUCCAAGGCUUAUCCCGAAGUGGAGGGCAGGUUGCUCACGUGUUACUCACCCGUUCGCCACUGAUCCACCCAGCAAGCUGGGCUUCACCGUUCGACUGCA
rnacentral:rRNA from 1 species